rnacentral:rRNA from 1 species
AGACGUCUACAUUAGAUACCCGUGUAGUCCCAGCCGUAAACUAUGCGCGUUAGGUGUAUCGGUGACCACGAGUUACCGAGGUGCCGAAGGGAAACCGUGAAACGUGCCGCCUGGGAAGUACGGUCGCAAGGCUGAAACUUAAAGGAAUUGGCGGGGAGCACCACAACAGGUGGAGCCUGCGGUUUAAUUGGACUCAACGCCGGGAAGCUCACCGGAUAGGACAGCAGAAUGAUUGCUGGGCUGAAGACUCUGCAUGACUAGCUG